CUUAUAGGACUCCGCUGGCACC
rnacentral:siRNA from 1 species